rnacentral:misc_RNA from 1 species
CGUCGAUGAUAGCAUCGUCACGUCGCGGUUUGGUACCUCACGCCUCGCGGUAUUCCCCAUCGGCAUCGAUGUUGACGGAUUCGCAGCGCAAGCCCAGCGCGCGGGCGCGCGGCGUCGCAUCCGGAUGUCUCGCGGCUGCGCAAGAGCCUGCACGGUGAGCGCCUCGCGAUCGGUGUUGAUCGCGUCGACUACUCCAAGGG